rnacentral:rRNA from 1 species
AUUGAACGCUGGCGGCAGGCCUAACACAUGCAAGUCGAACGAGUGGCGGACGGGUUAGUAAUGUCUGGGAAACUGCCCGACGGAGGGGGAUAACUACUGGCAACGGUAGCUAAUACCGCAUACCAUCUGCUGGGCCCAGCUGGGCUUAUCUAGUAGGUGGGGUAAUGGCUCACCUAGGCCAUGAUCCCUAGCUGGUCUGAGCGGAUGACCAGCCAACCUGAAACUGAGAGACGGACCAGACUCCUACGGUAGGCAGCAGUGGGGACUAUUGCACAAUGGGCGCAAGCCUGAUGCCGCCAUGUCGCGUGUAUGAAGAAGGCCUGCGGGAUGUAAAGUACUUUAAGCGAUGAGGCGUUACUCGCAGAAGAAGCACCGGCUAACUCCGUGCCAGCAGCGGCGGUAAUAC